CCAGCGUAAUAAAGUCUGGUGAACGAAGUGUCGAAAUUUAUCUGUAGUACUAAAUUGUGAACCAGAUUUAGAUUCAUCAAAAUUAAGGAAAGGGGUGGUGGUCCAGAGGUUUAACCAGCGCUUUGACAGAAUUGUUGUCCUAACAACUUCAUUCAUAGGCAACAACCAAAAUAUGUGAAAUAUAACAGAGUCCGGCAACUCACUGAGUCGAUCCAUCUUCAAAAUCAAAUCAUCCAAAGCAUAAAUUCACCUAAACAUAUUCGGAGCAACAACACAUACUAUCAAAUCCUCGAAGAUUACCUCAAAUGAACGCUUUGUUCUCUCGGAUGCUGCAGCCCAAAAUUGCCCUAGUUUGAGCUAAUCAACAAACACAGAGAGCUCAAAAGCCAUUAAAUCGGGCUGCAAACGAGCUCUGGUCGUCUAUUAGGGCUCGAGCUCGGCUCGUAAAAGGCUCGUUGAGUUGAGCUAGAGAAAGAGCUUGUUCAACAAGUAAGGGGCGAAAGGAUCCAUGGAGGCCGCGACUAGAAGCGACAGAUGUGGCGGCGGAGUCGGUGAAUUUGAAAAAAUCAAUCGACAAAAUGAUGUGCUUUUAGUUCAGCUGAUGGGGUGGCAGGUUGAUAAUGGCGGCGGAAAGUGGAGAAGAUGAAUUGAAUGGUGGCGGGAUUGAUUUCGGCCGGUGUGGGGGUGGGGUGCUGCGGUGGUGGGAGAGAGGCUGGCGACUGAGCGGCGGCGGGUUCGGAAUUGGAGAUGCAAUUUGGGGGAGUUGUGCAUACUGAUUAUUUAUACGUAUUUUUCUAAAAUAUUGAAUUUAAUUAUUAAUUCUAAAAAUAAUUUGAAAUUACACAAACAAAAAUCCAAAACAAUUAAAUGAAAUAGAGAAUUUACAUUACAUGGUAAAAAAGGUUUUUGAAGAUUUAAAAAGAGAAUUUAAUAUCAUACUAUUUAUACCACAUGACAUGACAACAAAAUAUAAACAAUUCUAAUGGACUAAAAGAAAAUAUUUGAAGAUCAUAAUUACUCAAUAUUAUCACGUACAUGUAUGAUUAAAUUAGUAAUCUAUAUAAUAUUAUAUAUAAAAAAAGAUUUUUUUUUUCCUUCAUUUUUUUCCUCUCUUUUCUCUCUCUUUCCACAAUUUUUUUUACUAUUUUUUCUUUUUGUUUUUUUAUAUUUUAAUUAUUUUCUAAACAUCCUCAAUUUGAUUCAUGAAAAAAAAUAUUCAAUAUGCAUUUCAAAUUUAAUAUAGUAUAAAAAUCAUCAAAAAAUAAUUUAAAAAUGAAUAGUUAUGAAAAUUUAAACUUUUUAUUUAUGUUUGUGUACUUGGAAAUAUUUAUUUAUUUAUUUAUUAUGACGCGUACUAUAUAAUAAUAUGCGUAAUGCUAAUUUUAGUAUAGAUAAUUUUAAAUUUAUUUAAUAACUAUAUUUAUCAUUACACUUUUACAAAGUUGAAAAAUUACAUUUUCAAAUUUAUGAUUUUAUUGAGUAACUGAUAUGGAUUAUUACACUUUCUUUUAAAACAUAUUUUGAUUUUUUAAUAUUAUUAUAAUAUUUAUUUAUAUAUUUAAAUAUAUCAUUUAAUUUUAAAUGAAAUAUGUAAUAAUCUAUUUUUAUAUAAAUAAUCUAAUAUGCUCAGUAAAUGUAGAUAAAAUAUUUAAUAAAUUAGUAUUAAUGGUGGUGAUAAAUAUAAUGAUAGUAUACAUUUAUCGAUCUCCUUGAGAUAUAUUUCUUAAAUAUCUGAAAUUAAUAAAAGCAUCAUUUCAAACACUUAUCCUCUACUCUAACAAUAUCUACGAUAAUUUUUAUUUGAAAUAACUGGUAAUAAUUGUUCAUACCCAUAUACUUUAACAUCCAUGACAACAUAAUAAAUAAUUAAAUUUUAAAUAUAAAAAAUUCAAAAUAACAUUUACUAUUAAAAAAAUAAUGUCUCUUGUGCAUACGAGAGUAAAACUAGUUUUUUUAAUGUUUAAAAGUUAGAAACCCAAAAACUUUUUUAUUCCAUGGGCAACUCAAGGAAGCUCCAUCGUGAUUAUGUUUUUUUUCCCCCUUAUUAAUUUUAACAGAAUAUUUAGUUGAUAACUAAGAUAAGAGGUGACAAUUUUAGUUCUCUUUUGCUUAAAUAGUUGAAUACAACAGAAAUCUAAAUGAUCGACGUUUUAUAUGUGAAAGAAAUGAAAUUGUUAACUAUCAUAUGAAGCACAAGAUUAAUUUGACAUUGGGAAGUAAACCAAGAUAAACAACAAUCUAGAUUUCAUCCACAAGAGUGCUACUGAUCAAGGUUUGACAUUGGGUGUAGCACUGAUCAAUUUCUCUGUUUUCACGAACACGUUUGACAAGAAAAAUAGCAAUCAAGGUUUCAUUCAUAGCAAUAAGAAGUUAAUCCAAACGGUGUAAAAUUGCUCCACUGCCCUGAAUAAGCUAAAUACAACCCCAAAAUGAAACAAACAAGGUAACAAAAACUGAGACAGGGUUGAAGAAAAGUAAAAUCCAACUCCCCAUCUCGGAGCAUAAUGCCGUCAUAGCAAAAUAUUAGCCGUCUACGAAGACAAUCAGCUAGUUACCUGGAGUCAUGUGGCAUUCUCCUAUGAUUAAAGACAUAAUUUGGUAAGAUCAAUAUUCAGAGAAAAUCAAUUGAGCAGUUGGGGAGGAUCUUGGCAUUCUCAACAGUUUCUGUGAUGCCAAAAACAAAGAUUUUGAUAGAUGUUGAGGUGGCAUGAUUCCUUUUACUCUGAACACCAUCUUUUCUAGAUUGCUUGCAUAUUUUAACAGAAACUCUAAAAACGGAAAUACGUCGUCAUCCUCAUCCCAAAUAACCUCAACUGUCCUCAACUGCAGAAAGGACUCGGGAGGAUAUGCUUCAAACUUGAGGUAGCUCUUGGAUCAAAGUUGAGUGACUGUUGGUUUUCAUGUAUCUCGUUUCCUACUUUAGAUUCAAGGACUAACUUCUUUAAUUGAGGGAAACUCUCAAGUAGACCUACUAAUAGUUUGUAGUCAUUGAAACAAAAUCCGAGAUGCAAGGACUUGACAUUAGGAAAAGAGGAAUUCAUUUCAUGCUUCUCUUUAUCAUAGCUCCAAGCACCUGAUGUAAAAUAAGUUCAUAAUAAUAAUCAGCUCACUGAAGCAAACACCAAGAAGAUAAAAGGCAACAUUGUUUUUAGGGAUGCAACAAUGACUUCAUCAAAUUAAAAGAAUGUCAAACAUUCCAUAUGAUUUAUAGUUAUUACAAUGCUAACAUACAAGUCACAAGCUUGAUGUUACAAAGUAAUGCAUAUAUAUAAAUUCUAGAAUGGAUAUAAAAAGGAUAGGAGUUAGUUGCAUGAUGAAAGUGGGAACUGUCUCUAAUAUACGUGGUUCACAUGCACACACUAAUUGAAGUUAGAAUUAAGAAAACAUGACUUAACAACUAUGCUCAAUAAAUAAUGAAAACUUCAUCAACAUAUUUAAAACUAAUUUGAUCUCUUCAGCCUCAUUGCUACUCUAUUAAUACAUAACAAAUGCAAGACGCAUAAGAUAGUUUAAGGAAACCGAACCUUGAUGCAACGGAACAUUAACGUGACGUUUUCAACAUGUUGGAUGGUUGAGAGAAUUCGACAGAACAUGUCUCCCAAAAAAUCGUCCGGGGUAAACAAGCCACGCUCAGUGUUCAUCCCAGGAAAGUCCGAAUCAUAUUUAUCAAAACCGUGUAGACCAAAAAACCCAAGAAUUGCGUGGGUUAAAGAUGAGACAUUCACCAAUAGACACUUUUUAUAUGGAGCUCCUUUAAUUUCCAAGGUUUCAAGAUUUGGGGUACAAAUUCUCAGUUCUGAAUCCCAACAUGGAUCAACACGAAAAUAUGAAGACAUGUGAAUCGACAGCACUUUCAAACUAGUAGAUCGUAUACACAAGUUUUCACCUCUAUCUACAAAAGAUAAGAUCAAGACUUCCAACCGAGGACUACCAUAUAAUAUUUGGUUAAUCACAUGUUCAGUGACCCCAAUACCAUUAAUAAUUGUUAAACUUUUCAGUUGAUUCCACUGCACAUUCCUAUAAUUUCUAAAGUUCCAAUCCUGACACCAGAACACUUUAAGAGAUGAGCAUGAGUAUACAUACUGCGGCAACCAGUAUAUGUCGUCAAGAUCAUCAAAAUCAAACAGAAUAUUCAAGUAUAAUUCUUCGACCUCCUUAUCCUUGCCAAAUAGAACCCACAAAUCAGUACCCAAUAACAUGGACUCAUCAGCAUAAGCCGAUUUGAACUUGAAUUUCAGAAGCCUUACCCCAUUCCAGCGCAAUAAGGCCCGAUUAACGAAGUUUUGAAGCUCUCUAGCAUCAUCAAAAUCCAUAGCAGCAUUGUCGAAAUUAAGGUAGGGUGCGGUGAUCCAAAGGUUUUUCCAGCGCUUGGAUAGAAUCGUUGUCCUAACAACAUCAGUCAUAGGCAACGACCAAAAUAUGUGAAAUAUUAACGAGUCCGGCAACUCACUGAGUCGAUCCAUGAAACCCUCUGAAACAUAAUGAAGCAUCAAUGAAUGAAAUGUGCAUCAACAACUCAGAAUUCACCUUUAAUGGAAGCAAAAUAGCACAUUGACAAGAUUACCUCGAGAUGAACGCUUCUUCAUUCUCGCGCCAAAAAAACCCUUGCUUGAGCUGAUGAACAUAACACACGAGACUGAAAAGGCAUUAAAGUUGAAAAUUAAGCGUUGGGUCCCUAAAAUAAAUUCAUCUUUUUAGUUUUGGGACCUCCCCAAAUAAGUUUCUCUUUCUUUGUUUUUAUUUUUGGACAAUUAUCUCACGACUAAUAAUAAUUUAUUUAUUCUUACUUUUUACUUUUUCACCACUUCCAAUACUAAUUACUCCAUCCGUCCGCCAAAAGUAUUCCACAAUUACUAUAUUUGGCGUCAGCAAAAAGUAUUCCACUUUCCUUUUUAAGUCAUGGUCCCACCAUCCACCUUUAUAUUUUAUCCUUACAAACACUCUUUAUUUACAAAAAACUCACCUCAAAUUCAAUCUCAACCACACAUCUCAUAAAGUGGUGGGACCCUUUCUCCACUACAUCAACAUCAUCACCAAUUUUAUUAAACUCCGUGUCCAGCCAAAGUGGAAUACUUUUGGCGGACGGAGGGAGUAUAAUAUUUUUUCACCAUUCCCAAUACUAAUUACUCCAUCCGUCCCACUGCAAUAAGCUCACUUCUUUUGGGCACGGAAAUUAAGAAAAUUUACUUUUUAGUAGCAAAGUGGUAGUAAAGUGGUGUGGUCCACACCAAUUUAGUAGUACAACUUUUUCUUCAAAAUGGAAAAUGAGUUUAUUGGAGUGGGACAUCCCCAAAAGGAAAAUGAACCUAUUAGAGUGGGACGGAUGGAGUAUAGCAUAUUUUUUUCCACUAAUAUACUUUAUCACUUUUUCUUAAAAUUCGUGCUGUCCCCAAAGAGGAAUUUAUUUUGGGGACAGAGGGAGUAUUCCAGAAAUUUGAUGAUGAGAUUCUUUUGGUAAAAAAUUUUUAUAGGGGUUUUAACUAUUUUAAAGUGUUAUUCGUAUAUGUGGAAGAGGCAAUCUGUUUUUCAUUUUGUCACCAACCAAAACCAUUGGCAGAUAACCAUUUUAUCUCUCUUAAUUAAAAAGGGACUUUAAAAUUGGUUUUAAAAAUUUUUAUUUUCAUUUUACUUAAUAUACCUUUUUAUUUAAAACCAAACAUUUCAUUAAAUUUAAAAUUUAAGCAUUACAUUGAUUAAAAUAAAAUAUAAUAAUAAAAAUAUAUUACAAUAAUAUAAAUAAAAUGAAGAGUUGGAAGAGGAGUUGGAAAAAUAAGACAUUAUUAGAGGAGAAAAAUGAAAAAUAAAAGAUGAGUAGUAGUAAUUGAUAAAAUCGAAUAAAUGAAAUACCUAUUUAUAGAUAAAUUUUAUAAUAGAAAAAAGCGAAACAACAGUUGCAGUGACUAAUUAAAAAAAUAGACAAAAAAGAACCAUUGGGAUCAAUUUAAAAUUUAAUUUUAAAAUAGCACGCGCAUAGCAUGCGCCUCAUAUUUAUCGACGAAAAUCCGACAUGAGGCUUAAAGCUCGGCACGAGCUUGAGGUGCGGCACUAGGAGUAGGAGGGCAGUGCGGAUAGCUGUGCUCAUUGUGGCAAUUAGAGUCCCGUUGUGAAUGCUCUAAAUAAGAAUAUAUCUUAUACACUAAUAUAGUGACAUGUAUUUAUUCGUAUGUAUAGUAUUUAUAUUAGGUUCCUUAAGGUCUUCAUUAUAAUACUGUACUUGUUUAAUAUGUUCACCUCGAUCAAUUAACGAACAAGGAUAAUGCAUCAUUCAUUUUUGUUAGAGCUAAUUAGUUUAUUUAUAUGGUUUUAUCUUUUUUAUUAAACUAGCAGAAAUAGCGUCCAUUGUACGCAUAAUUAAUAUUAUUUUAUUUGAUAAAAUAUAAAUAUAAUAUUUAUUAUAUUUAAUUUUCAAUUAACAAUUUGAUCUAUUUAAUUUUUUUAAUUCUAUUAUUUAUCUCUUACCACGAUUAAUUAGAAAGAAUUGGUAAGACCGAGAGAGUAUAAUUAAUUGAUAUAUAUCACAUAAAUUUAGUGUAAUAUCUAAUGAAUUAAUAUAUUCUUAUAAAUAUAUAACAUGUAAAAUAACUUUAAAAUAAAAAUACAAUAGGAAUAAAAUAGGUCAUCCACAUAUUAUGUCUAAAGCACUUUUUAUAUAUUUUUAUAUAUUAGUAUAGAUAUAUUACAUUUAAGAGAAUAUAUAUUGUUAGUUUGCAUUUGUAACAUAUAUUAAUUUGGUUAUGGGCCGGAGUUUGGGCUCACCGUCCUUAAUUUUCAAGCUUCAAUAACUCUAUAAAUAGUAUCAAACCGCAAACACGUUUCUAUGAAAUCUAUUUUUUAAUGUUUAGAACUUAGAAACCCAAAAACUUUUUUAUUCCAUGGGCAACUCACUAUAAGAAGCUCCAUCGUGAUUAUGUUUUUUUUUUCCUUUAUUAAUUUAACACAAUAUUUAGUUGAUAACUAAGAAAAGAGGUGACAGUUUCAGUUCUCUUUUGCUUGAAUACCAACAGAAAUCUAAAUGAUCGACGUUUUAUAUGUUAGAGAAAUGAAAUUGUUAGCUAUCAUAUGAAGCACUAGAUUAAUUUGACAUUGGGAAGUAAAAGCAAGAUAAACAACAAUCUAGAUUAACAAGAGUGCUACUAAUGAAAAUUGCUCUGCUUCCCUAAAUAAGCAAAUAUAUAAAGAACAAUUGAAGACGAAACAAAAGGAUAUCAAGCUCAGCACAUACUGCAUUCCUAUGAUUGAAGACAUAACUUGGUAAGAUCAAUAUUCAAGAAAGUAAAUUGUGCAGUUCAUGAGGUUUCAUUCAUAGCACUAAGAAAUUCAUCCAAAAGUGUCGAACUGCUCUACUGCCCUGAAUAAGCAAAAUACAACAACAAAAUGAAACAAACAAGGUAACAAAAACUGAAACAGGGUUAAAGAAAAGUAAAAUCCAACUCCCCAGAUCGGAGCAUAAUGCCGUCAUUGCAAAAUAUUUACAGAAAAUGUACGACAAACGCUAUUACCCGUCCAAGAAGACAAUCAGCUAGUUACUUGGAGUCAUGUGGCAUUCCUAUGAUUAAAGACAUAACUUGGUAAGAUCAAUAUUCACAGAAAAUCAAUUGAGCAGUUGGGGAGGAUCUUGGCAUUCUCAGCAGUUUCUGUGAUGCCAAAAACAAAGAUCUUGGCAUGAUUCCUUCUACUCUGAACACCAGCUUUUCUAGAUUGCUUGCGUGUUUUAACAAAAACUCUAAAAACGGAAAUACGUCGUCAUCCUCAUCCUCAUCCCAAAUAACCUCAACUGUCCUCAACUGCAAAAAGGACUCGGGAGGAUAUGCUUCAAACUUGAGGUAGCUAUUGGCAUCAAAGUUGAGUGACUCUUGGUUUUUAUGCAUUUCAUAUUCUCCUCUAUCGUCAAGGACUAACUUCUUUAAUUGAGGAAAACUCUCAAGUAGACCUACUAAUAGUUUGUAGUCAUUGAAAUGAAAUCCAAGUUGCAAGGACUUGACAUUAGGAAAAGAGGAAUUCAUGCAUCUCUUAAUCAUAGCUCCAAGCACCUGAUGUCAAAUAAGUUCAUAAUAAUAAUCAGCUCACUGAUGCAAACACCAAGUAAGAUAAAAGGCAAGCAUUGAUUUUUAGGGAUGCAACAAUGAUUUCAUCAAAUUAAAAGAAUGUCAAACAUUACAUAUCAUUUAUAGUUAUUACAAUGCUAACAUACAAGUCACAAGCUUGAUGUUACAAAGUAAUGCAUAUAUAUAAAUUCUAGAAUGGAUUUAAAAAGGAUAGGAGUUAGUUGCAUGAUGAAAGUGGGAACUCUAAUAUACGUGGUUCACAUGCACACACUAAUUGAAGUUAGAAAUAAGAAAACAUGACUUAACAACUAUGCUCAAUAAAUAAUGAAAACUUCAUCAACAUAUUUAGAAUUAAUUUGAUCUCUUCAGCCUCAUUGCUACUCUAUUAAUACAUAACAAAUGCAAGACGCAUAAGAUAGUUUAAAGAAACCGAACCUUGAUGCAACAGAACAUUAAUAUGACGUUUUCAACAUGUUGGAUGGCUGAGAGAAUUUGACAGAACGCAUCUCCCAGAAAAUCAUCCGGGGUAAACAAGCCACGCUCAGUGUCUAUCCCGGGAAAGGAAUCAUAUACAUCAAAAUAAUGUAGACCAGAUAGCCCAAGAGUUGCGUGGGUUAAAGAUGAGACAUUAACCAACAGACACUUUUUAUAUGGAGCUCCUUCAAUUUCCAAGGUUUCAAGAUUUGGGGUACAAAUUAUCAGUUCUGAAUCCCAACAUUGAUAACCAAGAAGAGUAUAAUACUUUCGAAUCGACAGCACUUUCAAACUAGUAGAUCGGAAAGACAAGUUUUCAUACUCUCUAUCUGCAAAAGACAAGAUCAAGACUUCCAACCGAGGACUACCAGAUAAUAUUUGGUUAACCACAUGAUCAGUGACCCCAAAGCCAUCAAUAAUUGUUAAACUUUUGAGUUGAUUCCACUGCACAUCCCCAUAAACUCUAAAGUCUCUAAAGUUACAAUCCUCUAACCAUAACACUUUAAGAGAUGAGCACGAGUAUACACACUGCGGCAAACAGUACAUGUCGUCAAACAGAAUAUGCAAGUAUAAUUCUUCGACCCCCUUAUCCUUAGCAAAUUGAAGCCACAAAUCAAUACCCAAACAGAUGGAAUCAUCAAACUCAUAACCCGAUUUGAACUUGAAUUUCAGAACCCUUACCCCAUUCCAGCGUACUAAGGCCCGAUUAACGAAGUUUUGAAGCUCUCUACCAUCAUCAAAAUCCAUAGCACCAUUGUCGAAAUUAAGGUAGGGAGCGGUGGUCCAAAGGUUUUUCCAGCGCUUCGAUAGAAAUGUCGUCCUAACAACAUCAGUCAUAGGCAACGACCAAAAUAUGUGAAAUAUUAUCGAGUCCGGCAACUCACUGAGUCGAUCCAUGAAACCCUCUGAAACAUAAUGAAGCAUCAAAGGAAUGAAAUGUGCAUCAAAAACUCAGAAUUCACCUUUAAUGGAAGCAAAAUAACACAUUGUAGUAUCAAAUUCUCGAAGAUUACCUCAAGAUGAACGCUUCUUCGCUCUCGCGCCAACAAAACCCUUGUUUGAGCUAAUGAACAAACAAAGGAGACUCAAAAGGCAUUGUAGCAUUGCUGCCUAAAAGCGCUAAAGUGGAAAAUUAAGCUUGGAACUUGGGGUUUUAAAAUCGCAAAUCGAAAUAAAAGCUGCUAUUGCAUUCUUUUAUAGGGGUUUUAAUUUACGGUAAUGUUCUUUGAACAAAAUAUAUGUCCGCACAAAAAUAUGGUUAAAUAUUUUUAAAAGAUAAAUUUAUUUAAAAUUUUUGGUUCAAACAAAACAAGAAUUUUGUUAGUUUUAUUCAUUUCUCCUUAUUAUAUUUUUUGUAAUUAUUUAAUAAUAUUUUUAAUUUUUAUUAUUUUUAAAGUGCAAAAAUUACAAAAAAAGGAAAAUAAUAAAAAUUAAAAGAAUUGUUAAAAAAUUACAAAAAAAACUACAAUAUGAAAAAAUUAAUAAAGCUAAAUAAAUCCUGUUUGAAUUUGAACCAAAGAUUAUAAAUAAAUCAAGUUUUUUAAAUUUAUGACCUUUUUUUAUCAGAAUAAAUUUUGUCCAAAUAACACUGCCAUUUAAUUUAUUCUGUCACCAACCAAAACCAUUGGCAGAUUACCAUUUUAUCUCUCUUAAUUAAUACCUUCUCAUCAAAAGCGAGGUGGAUAUUUUUGUGAUAUUGGAGUAAUUACUAAUAGCAUCCACUUAAGAGCUACUACUUUAUAAGAAGGGACUUUAAAAUUGGUUUGAAAAUUUUUAUUUUUAUUUUAUUCAAAUUGAUUUCUUCAUUUUUGAAAUCAAACAUUUUAUUAAGUUUUAAAUUUAAACAUUACAAUGAUUAAAACAAAAUAUAGUAAUAAAAAAAUAUUACAAUAAUUAAAUAAAAUGAAGAGUUAGUUGGAAGAGGAGUGGGAAGAAGAAGACAUUUUAAAGGAGGAGAAUGAUAGAAAAUGAGUAGUGAGAAUUGAUGUGAAAAAUAGCAGAAAUGAAAUACUCAAUAGAUCAAUUUUAGAAUAAAAAAAAGUGAAACAACCGUUGCAUGACUAAUUAAAAGAAAUCGACAGAAAGAGCCAUUGAGAUCAAUUUAAAAUUUAAUUUUAAAAUGGUGUGCACAUAGGUUGAGCCUCAUAUUUCUAGACGAAAGUCUGACGUGAGGCUUAAAGCUCGGCACGAGCUUGAGGUGCGGCACUGGGAGGGCAGUGCGGAUAGUGGGGCUCGAUGUAGCAGGUACAGUCCCGUUGUGGCCCGUGUGGAUGCUCUAAAUAAAAAUAUAUAGUGUAUUUAUAUUAGGUAGCUUCCUUAAGGUGUAGUCUUCAUUAUAAUACCGCAGUCUUGUUUAAGGUUCACCUCAAUCAAUUAACGAACAAGGAUAAUGUAUCAUUCAUAUUUGUUAGAGCUAAUUUAUUAAUUCUAUUUUAUUUGUAUAGGUUUGUCUUUUUUAUUAAAUAUAUUAUAUUUAGGACAAUAUAUAUUGUUAGUUUGCAUUUGCAACAUAUUAAUUUGGUCAUGGCCGGAAAUAAUUUGGUUAUGGGCCGUUAUUUGGGCUCACCAUCCUUAAUUUUCAAGUUUCAAUAACUCUAUAAAUAGAACCCAAAAAUUGCACCAAAUAAAACCCCAAACACGUUUCUAUGAAAUCUAUUUUUUAAUGUUUAGAACUUAGAAACCCAAAAACUUUUUUAUUCCAUGGGCAACUCACUAUAAGAAGCUCCAUCGUGAUUAUGUUUUUUUUUUUUCCCUUUAUUAGUUUAACAGAAUAUUUAGUUGAUAACUAAGAAAAGAGGUGACAAUUUCAGUUCUCUUUUGCUUGAAUACCAACAGAAAUCUGAAUGAUCGACGUUUUAUACGUGAGAGAAAUGAAAUUGUUAGCCUAUCAUAUGAAGCACUAGAUUAAUUUGACAUUGGGAAGUAAAGCAAGAUAAACAACAAUAGUGCUACUAAUGAAAAUUGCUCUGCUUCCCUAAAUAAGCAAAUAUAUAAAGAAAAUUUGAAGACGAAACAAAAGGAUAUCAAGCUCAGCACAUACUGCAUUCCUAUGAAUAUGAUUGAAGACAUAACUUGGUAAGAUCAAUAUUCAAAAAAGUAAAUUGUGCAGUUCAUGAGGUUUCAUUCAUAGCACUAAGAAAUUCAUCCAAAAGUGUCGAACUGCUCUACUGCCCUGAAUAAGCAAAAUACAACAACAAAAUGAAACAAACAAGGUAACAAAAACUGAAACAGGGUUAAAGAAAAGUAAAAUCCAACUCCCCAGAUCGGAGCAUAAUGCCGUCAUUGCAAAAUAUUUACAGAAAAUGUACGACAAACGCUAUUACCCGUCCAAGAAGACAAUCAGCUAGUUACUUGGAGUCAUGUGGCAUUCCUAUGAUUAGAGACAUAACUUGGUAAGAUCAAUAUUCACAGAAAAUCAAUUGAGCAGUUGGGGAGGAUCUUGGCAUUCUCAGCAGUUUCUGUGAUGCCCGAAACAAAGAUUUUGAUGGACAUUUAGGUGGCAUGAUUCCUCUUACUCUGAACACCAUCUUUUCUAGAUUGCUCGCGUAUUUUAACAGAAACUCUAAAAACGGAAAUACUUCGUCAUCCUCAUCCUCAUCCCAAAUAACCUCAACUGUCCUCAACUGCAGAAAGGACUCGGGAGGAUAUGCUUCAAACUUGAGGGAGCUCUUGGCAUCAAAGUUGAGUGACUCUUGGUUUUCAUGCAUCUCGAAUCCUACUCUACAUUUAAGGACUAACUUCUUUAAUUGAGGAAAACUCUCAAGUAGACUUACUAAUAGUUUGUAGUCAUUGAAACAAAAUCCAAGAUGCAAGGACUUGACAUUAGGAAAAGAGGAAGUCAUGCAUCUCUUUAUCAUAGCUCCAAGCACCUGACGUAAAACAAGUUCAUGAUAAUAAUCAGCUCACUGAAGCAAACACCAAGUAAGAAAAAAAGGCAAGCAUUGAUUUUUAGGGAUGCAACAAUGACUUCAUCAAAUUAAAAGAAUGUCAAACAUUCCAUAUCAUUUAUGGUUAUUAGUUAUUACAAUACUAACAUACAAGUCACAAGCUUGAUGCUACAAAGUAAUGCGUAUAUAAAAAUUCUAGAAUGGAUUUAAAAAGGCCAAAAAAGGAUAGGAGUUAGUUGCAUGAUGAAAGUGGGAACUGUAAUAUAAGUGGUUCAGUUAAAGAAGCCAAUGAUGCAACAAAGAAAGCAUACAAAGACCACCAUGCCAUCCAAGCUGACAUGCAUUGAAGUUAGAAUUAAGAAAACAUGACUAACAACUAUGCUAAAUAAAUAAUGAAAACUUCAUCAACAUAUUUAGAAAUUAAUUUGAUCACUUCAUCCUCAUUGCUACUCUAUCAAUACAUAUAUAACAAAUGCAAGACGCAUAAGAUUAGUUUAAAGAACCGAACCUUGAUGCAACAGAACAUUAAUGUGACAUUUUCAACAUGUUGGAUGGUUGAGAGAAUUUGACAGAACACGUCUCCCAGAAAAUCAUCCGAGGUAAACAAGCCACGCUCGGUGUCCAUCCCAGGAAAGUCCACAUCGUAUACAUCAAAGCAAUGUAGACCAAAAAACGCAAGAGUUGCGUGGGUUAAAGAUGAGACAUUCACCAACAGACACUUUUUAUAUGGAGCUCCUUUAAUUUCUAAGGUGUGAAGAUUUGGGGUGCAAAUUCUCAGUUCUGAAUCCCAACAUAGUUCAGCACAAAAUUGAAAAUACCUGUGAAUCGACAGCACUUUCAAACUAGUAGAUUGGAUACACAAGUUUUCACCUAUAUCUAGAAAAGACAUGAUCAAGACUUCCAACCGAGGACUACCACACAAUAUUUGGUUAAUCACACGUUCAGUGACCUCAUCACCAUUAAUAAUUGUCAAACUCUUGAGUUGAUUCCACUGAACAUUCCCAUAAACUCUCAAGUUACAAUCCUCAAACGAUAACACUUUAAGCGAUGAACAUGAGUAUACACACUGCGGCACCCAGUAUAUGUCGUCAUUAUCAUUAAUUUCAAACAGAAUAUGUAAGUAUAAUUCUUCGACCCCCUUAUCCUUGGCAAAUUGAACCCACAAAUCAGUACCCAAACACAUGGACUCAUCAAACUCAUAAAUCGAUUUGAACUUGAAUUUCAGAAGCCUUACCCCAUUCCAGCGCAAUAAGGCCCGAUUAACGAAGUUUUGAAUCUUUGUAUCAUCAUCAAAGUUCAUGGCAGCAUUGUCGAAAUUAAGGUAGGGUGCGGUGGUCCAAAGGUUUUUCCAGCGCUUCGAUAGAAUCGUUGUCCUAACAACAUCAGUCAUAGGCAACGACCAAAAUAUGUGAAAUAUGAUCGAGUCCGGCAACUCACUGAGUCGAUCCAUCAAAACCUCUGAAACAUAAUGAAGCAUCAAUGUUUGAAUUGCACAUCAAAAACUCAGAAUUCACCUUAAACUAAUUGGAAGCAAAAUAGCACAUUGUAGUAUCAAAUUCUCAAAGAUUACCUCAAGAUGAACGCUUCUUCGCUCUCGCGCCAACAAAACCCUUGUUUGAGCUAAUGAACAAAACCGAGUAAGGAUGUUUUUGUGAUUACAUGAGUAAUUACUGAGAGCCACAGUGGUAUAGCUUUUUGGGGCUUUUUAAGGAGUAAAAGAGACUUUAAAAUUGGUUUUAAAAUUUUUAUUUUUAUUUUACUCAAAUUAAUCUCUUUAUUUUUAAAAUUGAAUAUUUCAUUAAAUUUAAAAUUUAAACAUUACAAUAAUUAAAAUAUAAUAUAAUAAUAAGAAAAAAUUACAAUAAUUAAACAAAAUAAAGAGUUGGAAGAGGGGUGGAAAGAAGAAGACAUUGUUAGAUGAAGAAAAUGAUAAAUAGAAGAUGCUUUAUAGGAUUUGACGUGAAAAAUGGAAGAAAUGAGUAUUUAUAGACAAAUUGUAGAAUAGAAAAAGUGAAACAAUAGUUGCAAUUGCUAAUUUUAAAAAAUUAACAAAAAGAGCCAUUGGGAUCAUUUAAAAUUUUAUUUUGAUUAUUUUUGUUAAAUGACGUGCGAGCUAUGCAUCAUAUUUCUUGACGAAAGUUCGGCGUGAGGCUUAAAGCUCGGCACGAGCUUGAGGCGCGGCACUGAGAGGGCGGUGCGAAUAGCAGAGCUCGAUUUGGUGGGUAGAGUCCGGCUGUUGUUGCUCUAAAUAAGAAUAUACUCCCUUCGUCCCAUAUAUAUAAGCUUGUUUUUUUUUUUUUGAAUGUCCCAUUUAUAUAGGCUUAUUUACAAACAAGGAUAUGUAUCAUUCAUAUUUGUUAGAGGUAAUUUAUAACUCUAUUUUAUUUAUAUAGUUUUAUCUUUUUAUUAAAUAUACUAUAUUUCGGAGAAUAUAUAUUGUUAGGUUGCAUUUGCAACAUAUUAAUUUGGUUGUGGGCCGGAGUUUGGGCUUACCAUCCUUAAUUUUCAAGUUUCAGUAACUUUAUAAAUAGAACCCAAAAAUUGCACCAAAUCAAACCCCAAACACGUUACUCCCUCCGUCCCCCAACAAAAGCGGUGCGUAUUUUUUUGUUUUUAGUCGUCCCAACAAAAUUGGUGCAUUUUCUUUUUUUGUAAUAAUUUUACACUAGAAAUAAUGUAGUCUCACACAUCUUUACACACUUUUACUCUCGUACCGAAAAGAAGCGCACCGCUUUCGUUGGGACGAUAGGAGUAUUUUUUAAUAUUUAAAACUUAGAAAUCCAAAUAUUUUUUAUUCCAUGGGCAACUCACUAUAGGAAGCUCCAUCGUGAUUAUGUUUUUUUUUUUCCCUUUAUUAAUUUAACAGAAUAUUUAGUUGAUAACUAGGAAAAGAGGUAACAAUUUCAGUUCUCUUUUGCUUGAAUACAACAGAAAAUCUAAAUGAUCUACAUGUUAUAUGUAAAAGCAAUGAAAUUGUUAACUAUCAUAUGAAGCACAAGAUUAAUUUGACAUUGGGAAGUAAAGCAAGAUAAGAUAAACAACAAUCUAGAUUUCAUCCAUAACAAUAAGGAGUUAACAAGUGUGCUACUGCUACAAAUAAAAAGAGCAUCAACUUAAUCCAAAAGUGUCAAAUUGCUCUGCUUCCCUAAAUAUGCAAAUAUAAUCCCAAAAUGAAACACAAGAAAGAAAAUUUGAAGAUGAAACAAAAGGAUAUCAAGCUAAAAACAUACUGCAUUCCUAUGAUUGAAGACAUAACUUGGUAAGAUCAAUAUUCACAAAAAAUAAAUUGUGCAGUUCGCGAGGCUCUUGGCAUUUUCAACAGGAUGUGAGAUGCACGCAGCAAAAAAUCUAAUGGCAAUGAAGGUCGCUUGAUUUCUUUGACUCGGAACACAAUCUUUUCUAGCGCAACCGCAUUGUUCAACAGAAACUCUAGAAAUGGAAAUAUGGCGUCACCCUCAACCAAAGUAACCUCAAUUGUCCUCAACUGUAGUAUAAACGACAUAGGAAGAUAUUUUUUCAACUUGAGGUAGACAUCGGUAGCAUUAGCCCACAGUGAAUCUUCCUCAUCAUAUUGCUCAUCAAAGAAGUCCAUGGGUAUUAAUCCAGCUUUAAUGACCAACUUCUUUAAUAGAGGGGAAAUCUCAACUAUACUUGCAAAUUUAGAGCAAUGAAAUCUGAACUGUAAGAACUUGACAUUAGGAGAAGAUGAAUUCACCCACUCUGUCAUAGCACCAAGCACCUGUUGUAUCAAUAAGUUGAUGAGCUGAUUGCGAAGACAUAGUAAAUACAAGGCACAACAUUGAUUCAAGGGGACGCAACGAUAAUUGCUAGUGUCCAUAAUUGGUUAAAGCCAAUCACAAACAAAGCAAAAUCUAAUCUUUUGACACAUAAAAUCUUUAAAAUGUGACUAAAAAGGCAUAAAACUAACAAUAAGGAUAGAGUUUAUUGUCUGAUAAAUGUGAUGAUAACCUUAAUAUAAAUGAAACAAAGAAAAACAUGCAAACACCUCCACAACAAACAUCAAUAGGUAUGUCAAAUAAACAAUGAAAUCUUUAGUUAAUGCCCUGCAUUAAUCUAUAAUAAAUGUAAGCGACAAAAGACAGUUCAAAGAAACCAAACCUUGACGCAACAUGGCAGUAAUUUGACAUUUUUAACAUGUUGGAUGCUUGGAAGAAUUUGACCAAAUAAAUCUCCAAGAAAAUGGCUUGAGGUUAAAACGUCAUCGAUCCCGGAAAAGUUCUCACAUUUCGUUUCAUCACGCAGAUGUGGAUUAUAAUUCCCAAGAGUUGCAUGACUUAAAGAUGAGACAUUCAUCAACAAACACUUGCUAAAUGGAAUUCCUAUAAUUUCUAAGGCUUUAAGAUUUGGGGUACAAAUUCUCAGUUCCGUCGUAUAAAUUGAUGCAUCACCAGCCACUUGCCUGUAAAUCAACAGCUCUUUCAAACUAGUAGAUCGGAUAGACAAGCUUUGGCCUCUUUCUAUACAAGAGACGUUCAAGACUUCCAACUGAGGGCUACCACACAAUAUUUGAUCAAUCACUUCGUCAGUGACCCCAUAACCUCUACGAAUUGUUAAACUCUUGAGAUGAUUCCACUGCACAUUCCCAUUAAUUCUAAAGUAACAAUUCUUGAUCGAUAACACUUUAAGCGAUGAGCAUGAGUACAGAUAUUGCGGCACCCAAAUUGCUUUGUGAUCAUCAUCACCACUCAUUGGUAUAUCAAAAUUCUCCCAAAGCAAGUAUAAUUCUUCGACUUCAUGUUUCUUGGCAAAUCGCAGCCACAAAUCAGCAUCCCCAUGUACUUCACGCGCACGAUCCAAUUUAACCUUGAAUUUCAGAACCUUUACCCCAUCCCAGCGUAAUAAAGCCCGAUGAACAAUGAUUGGAAAAUGUUUUCUAGCAUCAAAAUCCAUAAUAUAAUGAUCAAUAUUAAGGAAGGGGGUGGUGGACCAAAGGUUUUUCCAGCGCUUGGACAGAAUCGUUGUCCUAACAACAUCCCUAAUCGGCAACAACCAAAAUAUGUGAAAUAUUAUAAAAUCCGGCAACUCACUGAGUCGAUCCAUCUCCAAAAUCAAAACCUCUGAUUCAUAAUCUAACUCAAAAUUUACCUAAACAUAUUCGUAGCAAUAACACAUACUAUCAAAUUCUCGAAGAUUACCUCAAAAUGAGCGCUUCAUUCCCUCGUUUGAGCUAAUCAAGUAACACUCAGAGCUCAAAAGCCAUUAUUACUCUCAGGCUGUAGACGAGCGAGCUGAAUACCCACUGAGACGAGCUGAGCCGAGCUAGAGAAAGUGCUUGUUCAACGACGAAACCGAGACGGAGCAGGCGCCGACAAGUAAGGGGCGGAAGGAGCCACAGAGGCGGCGACUAGAAGCGACAGAGGCGGUGGCGGAAUAGACGUUGUUUGCUUUCAGCCGAUGGCAUAGCAGGUUGUCAAUGGUGGCCAAAAUUAGAGAAGAUGAAGUGAAGGGGAAUCGAUUUCGGUCGGUGUGGAGGGGGGUGGCGGCGUGGUUAGAGAGAGAGGCUGACGAUUACUCGAUGAGUGGCGGCGGGUUGAGACUUGGAGAUGCCAUUUCUAGGUUUUUGUGUGUUUGUAUGUACAUCCCCUAUUAAUUAGCCAAGGGCGUGUUUGAUGGUAAUAUAGAGAUUAAUUACUUCUAGAUAUCUAAUACAUAUUUAUUGAGAUUAACUAUUUUAUAUCAUUGUUUGAUAUUUCCUAGAUAAGCACUAGUUAAUAGGAAUUAUUGUUUGAUAUAAGAACUCACGUGUUUGAUAGUGUUUGAUAUUAUAGCUUAUAUUGUGAAAUUACCACCUUACCCUCCACUUAAAUAUUAAAUUUACAAACAUAUACCCUCAACUAUAGGGACAAUUUGGACUUCUUGAAUUAUAAUCUCAGACAUAGUAAUAUCGAUAUUAAGAAUCUCACCAUGGGGGCUGGAUCAAUUAUGUCUUCUCUACAGUGAUAUUAGGCCGGGUCGCCAGUUUAUUGCGGGUUUCACUUAUUAAUAAUAUACCUCAUCAAACAUUAGAAAUACAAUUUAUCCACCCUAAUAUACCUCAUCAAACACGCCCUUAAUAGUAUAAUAAAGAAAAACAAGAAGAAGAAUUUAUAUUUGGAAAAAAUUUGCAUUUUAAUGCAAAACAUAUCAGUGUUUUUUCCAUUGAGUUCUCUCAAAAAGAUUUUGAUAAGACACUACUCUUAAUUAAUGCAAAAUGAGUUGAGAAAAAGACACAGCAUGUUAUAUAAAAAUUUUCAAAAUAUAAAGAGACUAAUUUUUAUGAUCGAGUGGAGUAUAAGUUAAAUGAAAGUAGUAUGUAAAUAAAUUAAAAUUAAAAUUGAAAUUUUGUUCUCCUUAAUCUCCAUGCCCAAAAGGCAUGUUGUUUACGUAUGAAUAUAUAUCAACUUAAUCCAAAAGUGUGAAUUUGCUCUGCUGCCCUCAAUAUAAUCCCCAAAAUGAAACAGAGGAAAGAAAAUCUGAAACAUGACAAUGCUCAUUGCAAAAUAUUUACAGGAAAUUUACAACAAGCUAUUACCCAUUCUAAGAAGAUUAUGAGUUUACCAGAAAUCAUGCUGCAUUCCUAUGAUUGAAGACACAACUUGACAACAUCAAUAUUCGGAGAAAAUAAAUUGUGCAGCAAGCGAGGAUCUCGGCAUUCUCAGCAGCCUCUGCGAUGCUACACGCAAGGAAUUAGAUGGGUGUGCAGGUGGCAAGGUUCUUUUUACUCGGAACACCAUCUUUUCUAGUUUACUGGCGAAUUUCAACAGAAACUCUAGUAAUGAGAAUAUGGUGUCACCCUCAAUCCAAGUAACCUCAACUGACCUCAACUGCAGCACAAAGGACUUGGGAAGAUUUGCUUCAAUCUCGAGAUAGCUCUCAGGAUCAACAUUCAGUGCAUCUCGAUUAUAAUGGCCCCUGUCAUCCGCUCUAACUUUAACGACUAACUUCUUCAAUAGAGGGAAAAUCUCAAUCAUGCCUACAAAACAUCGCUGUUUAAUGAAAUGAAAUUUGAGCUGUAAGGACUUGACAUUAGGAGAAGAUGAAUUCACGCAUCUCUCUAUCAUAGCUCCAAGCACCUGUUGUAAAAAUAAGUUUUACAAUAAGAGGAUGAGCUGAUUGAAGCAAAGACCAAGUAAGAUACAAGGCGAAACAUUGAUUCAAAGGAAUGCAACAACCAUUGCCUAAAUAUAAAAGAGGGUCCAUAGUUAGUUCAAAGCUAAUCCCAAAUAAUGCGAAAUCUACUUGGUAAUGCAUAAAAUCUUUGUAAUGUGAUCAACAAGGCAAAAAAAAAGGAUGAGAUUUUAUUGCCAGAUAAAUGCGAUAACCUUAAUAUAACUGAUUUAGUAAAGAAGCCACUGAUGUAACAAAAAGAAAGAACAUACAAACACGGCCACAACAUCCAUGCACAUUGAGGUUAGAAUCAAGAGAAAAUGAUCAAUUGGUAUGCCUAAUAAACAAUGAAAUCUUUAUAAGUGUGAAUGUUACUGUGCAUUAAUCUUUAAUAAAUGUACAAAAGAUAGUUCAAAGAAACCAAACCUUGAAACAACACGACACUAAUGUGACGUUUUCAACUUGUUUGAUGCUUGGAAGAAUUUGACCAAAUAAAUCUCCAAGAAAAUGGCUUGUUGGUAAGGAGCCAUCUAUCCCAGAGAGGUCGUCACAAUAUUUUUCAUCAAAUUCAUGAAGACAAGAAAACCCAAGAGUGGCAUGGAUUAAAGAUGAGACAUUCAUAAACAAACACUUUCUAUAUGGAAGUCCUUUAACUUCUAAUCUUUCAAGAUUUGGGGUCCAAAUUCUCAGCUCUGCCGUACUAUAAGAUUCAUCAGAAUAGGAAUCUAAAUACCGGUAAAUCAACAGCUCUUUCAAACUGGCAGAUCGGAUAACCAAGCUUUUACCACAUUCUAAAAGAGACAUGAUUAAGACUUCCAGCCGAGGACUCCCACACAAUAUUUGGUUAAUCACAUGUUCCGUGACCCCAAAGCCAUCAGUAAUAGUUAAACUCUUGAGAUGAUUCCACUGCACAUUCCCCUUAAUUCUAAAGUAACAAUUCGUGAUCGAUAACACUUUAAGAGACGAGCAUGAGUACAGAUACUGUGGCACCCAAUAUACGUUGUGUUCUCCAUCAUCAGCCCAAAAUAUCUCAUCUAUCACCCUAUGCAAGUAUAAUUCUUCGACUUCAUAUUUCUUGGCAAAUCGCACCCACAAAUCAACAUCCCCAUUUAUUGAUUUAUUUUCACCAGUAUCAACCUUGAAUUUCAGAACCUUUACCCCAUCCCAGCGUAAUAAAGGCCGCUGCACGGAGUUUCGAAAUUGUUCUGUAGUAUCAAAACUCGAAUCAGUUUCAUCAAAAUUAAGGAAAGGGGUGAUGGUCCAGAGGUUUAACCAGCGCUUUGACAGAAUUGUUGUCCUAACAACUUCCCACAUAGGCAACAACCAAAAUAUGUGAAAUAUAACAGAGUCGGGCAACUCACUGAGUCGAUCCAUCUUCAAAAUCAAAUCAUCUAAAGCAUAAUCUAACUCAAAAUCCAACUAAACAUAUUCGGAGCAACAACACAUACUGUCAAAUUCUCGAAGAUUACCUCAAAUGAACGCUUGCUGCAGCCCCAAAUUGCCCUAGUUUGAGCUAAUCAACAAACACACAGAGCUCAAAAGCCACUUGAGCCGAGCUAGAGAAAGAGAUUGUUCAACGAGGGGAUCGAGACGGAGCAAGCGCCAACAAGUAAGGGGCGAAAGGAUCCAUGGUGGCCGCGACUAGAAGCGACAGAGGCGGCGGCGGAGUCGGUGAAUCUGAAAAAAAAUCAAUUGACAAUGGCGGCGGAGGGUUGGGAAUUGGAGAUACAGAGGGUUUAUUAUGUGUAUUUCAAGUGGACCCCAC
rnacentral:lncRNA from 1 species